rnacentral:misc_RNA from 1 species
AACGCACAUUGCGCCUCCUGGCAUUCCGGGAGGCAUGCCUGUUCGAGCGUCAUAAAAACCCACUCAAGCUCUUUGGCUUGGUUAUGGGGGUUGAGGUAUAUCUCACCCUCGAAAUUCAGAGGCGGAUUGCCCAUUGUUGCCCUGGCGUUAUAAGUUUGCUCUUUCGCUUGGAUUUCAUGGUCGUCUUGCCACAAACCUUUUUUCUUUUAUGUUGACCUCGGAUCAGGUAGGGAUACCCGCUGAACUUAA